AUUGCCCAGGAAGCAGAAACCAAAGCAGUUAUCACUCCUCCACCUGCUUUUCCAUCUUCCAGGAGCAGUGUGUGCCCAGCCCUGCCCACCAGGGACAUUUGGCCAGAACUGCAGCCAGGAUUGUCCUUGCCACCAUGGAGGGCAGUGUGACCACGUGACUGGACAGUGCCACUGUACAGCUGGAUACAUGGGGGACAGAACCCGAUGAGGUUUAGUGAGUAUCGUCCCAUUUUAUGAAAAAGAAGAGGAUGUCAGAGCUUUAGGCUUGGAAUCAAUAAAAUAUGGUGGUACAAACUCAUUGCUGGGGGGACUGAGCCGACCUGGCAUGAAAGGCAGAAAUGACUGGGGCGAACUAAACCAUGGACUACUUCCUGGAGGAGGAGAGAGAAAAGGGGAGGAGGCUGUGAGCAGCGUGGAGCACACCAGGCCUGGGCCAGAUGGCCAGGAGGACCACAUCCUGGAGGAUCUUGAA
rnacentral:lncRNA from 10 species